UCAGGAUGGCCGAGCAGUGUAGUGGUCUAAGGCGCUGCGUUCAGGUCGCAGUCUCCCCUGGAGGCGUGGGUUCGAAUCCCACUCCUGACA
rnacentral:tRNA from 1 species